rnacentral:rRNA from 1 species
GACGAACCGUGCGAACGUUGUUCGGAAUCACUGGGCUUAAAGGGCGCGUAGGCGGGCUGACAAGUCUGGGGUGAAAUGCCGCGGCUCAACCGUGGAACUGCCUUAGAUACUUUCGGCCUCGAGGAAGGUAGGGGCAUGCGGAACUGUAGGUGGAGCGGUGAAAUGCGUUGAUAUCUACAGGAACUCCGGUGGCGAAAGCGGCGUGCUGGACCUUUUCUGACGCUGAGGCGCGAAAGCUAGGGGAGCAAACGGG